UGCGUAGGGCGCAAGCGUUGUCCGGAAUUAUUGGGCGUAAAGAGCUCGUAGGUGGCUUGUCACGUCGGGUGUGAAAGCUUGGGGCUUAACUCCAGGUCUGCAUUCGAUACGGGCUGGCUAGAGGUAGGUAGGGGAGAACGGAAUUCCUGGUGUAGCGGUGAAAUGCGCAGAUAUCAGGAGGAACACCGGUGGCGAAGGCGGUUCUCUGGGCCUUACCUGACGCUGAGGAGCGAAAGCGUGGGGAGCGAACAGG
rnacentral:rRNA from 1 species